GAUGAACGCUGGCGGCGUGCCUAAUACAUGCAAGUCGAGCGAACGGACGAGAAGCUUGCUUCUCUGAUGUUAGCGGCGGACGGGUGAGUAACACGUGGAUAACCUACCUAUAAGACUGGGAUAACUUCGGGAAACCGUAGCUAAUACCGGAUAAUAUUUUCAACCGCAUGGUUCAAAAGUGAAAGACGGUCUUGCUGUCACUUAUAGAUGGAUCCGCGCUGCAUUAGCUAGUUGGUAAGGUAACGGCUUACCAAGGCAACGAUGCAUAGCCGACCUGAGAGGGUGAUCGGCCACACUGGAACUGAGACACGGUCCAGACUCCUACGGGAGGCAGCAGUAGGGAAUCUUCCGCAAUGGGCGAAAGCCUGACGGAGCAACGCCGCGUGAGUGAUGAAGGUCUUCGGAUCGUAAAACUCUGUUAUUAGGGAAGAACAUAUGUGUAAGUAACUGUGCACAUCUUGACGGUACCUAAUCAGAAAGCCACGGCUAACUACGUG
rnacentral:rRNA from 1 species